rnacentral:rRNA from 1 species
CAAGUCGAACGUGAAAGCCCCCUUCGGGGGGCAAGUAGAGUGGCGCACGGGUGAGUAACACGUAGGUAAUCUACCUUCGGAUGGGGAAUAACAACCGGAAACGGUUGCUAAUACCGCAUAAUGCAGCGGCACCUAAUGGUGACAGUUGUUAAAGCGGGGGAUCGAAAGACCUCGCGUCUGAAGAGGAGCCUGCGGCGGAUUAGCUAGUUGGUAAGGUAAUGGCUUACCAAGGCGACGAUCCGUAGCCGGCCUGAGAGGGCGGUCGGCCACACUGACACUGACAUACGGGUCAGACUCCUACGGGAGGCAGCAGUCGGGAAUUUUGGGCAAUGGGCGAAAGCCUGACCCAGCAACGCCGCGUGAAGGAUGAAAUCCCUCGGGAUGUAAACUUCGCAAGAACGGGAAGAAUAAGUCGGUGCUAAUACCACCGGCGAUGACGGUACCGUUUGUAAGCUCCGGCUAACUCCGUGCCAGCAGCCGCGGUAAUACGGGGGGAGCAAGCGUUGUUCGGAUUUACUGGGCGUAAAGGGCGCGUAGGCGGCCACCGCAAGUCAAUUGUGAAAUCUCCGGGCUUAACUCGGAAAGGUCAACUGAUACUGCGGGGCUAGAGUGCAGAAGGGGCAACUGGAAUUCUCGGUGUAGCGGUGAAAUGCGUAGAUAUCGAGAGGAACACCUGCGGCGAAGGCGGGUUGCUGGGCUGACACUGACGCUGAGGCGCGAAAGCUAGGGGAGCGAACGGGAUUAGAUACCCCGGUAGUCCUAGCCUUAAACGAUGAAUGCUUGGUGUCUGGGGUUUUAAA